CCUACGGGCGGCAGCAGUGAGGAAUAUUGGUCAAUGGACGAGAGUCUGAACCAGCCAAGUAGCGUGAAGGAUGACUGCCCUAUGGGUUGUAAACUUCUUUUAUAUGGGAAUAAAAUGUUCCACGUGUGGGAUUUUGUAUGUACCAUAUGAAUAAGGAUCGGCUAACUCCGUGCCAGCAGCCGCGGUAAUACGGAGGAUCCGAGCGUUAUCCGGAUUUAUUGGGUUUAAAGGGAGCGUAGGUGGAUUGUUAAGUCAGUUGUGAAAGUUUGCGGCUCAACCGUAAAAUUGCAGUUGAAACUGGCAGUCUUGAGUACAGUAGAGGUGGGCGGAAUUCGUGGUGUAGCGGUGAAAUGCUUAGAUAUCACGAAGAACUCUGAUUGCGAAGGCAGUUCACUGGACUGCAACUGACACUGAGGCUCGAAAGUGUGGGUAUCAAACAGGAUUAGAUACCCUUGUAGUC
rnacentral:rRNA from 1 species